AUUGAACGCUGGCGGCAGGCCUAACACAUGCAAGUAGAACGAGUGGCGGACGGGUGAGUAAUGUCUGGGAAACUGGCUGAUGGAGGGGGAUAACUACUGGAAACGGUAGCUAAUACCGCAUACCAUAAGAUGUGCCCAGAUGGGAUUAGCGUGUUGGUGGGGUAACGGCUCACCACGACGACGAUCCCUAGCUGGUCUGAGAGGAUGACUAGCCACACUGGAAUUUAUACACGUUCCAUACUCCUACGUGAGGCAGCCGUGGGGAAUAUUGCACAAUGGGCGAAAGCCUGAUGCAGCCAUGCCGCGUGUAUGAAGAAGGCCUUCGGGUUGUAAAGUACUUUCAGCGGGGAGGCGUUACCCGCAGAAGAAGCACCGGCUAACUCCGUGCCAGCAGCCGCGGUAAUUC
rnacentral:rRNA from 1 species